GCCGGGAUAGUUCAGCGGUAGAACGCGGGUUUUGUAAACCCGUUGUCGGGGGUUCGAUUCCCCCUCCCGGCU
rnacentral:tRNA from 1 species